ncrna:unclassified sequences DTF805b RNA
ACGGCGAGUUCCGAAAAGCCGGAUAGUAAACAGAGUAGGAA